ensembl:snoRNA
UGGACCAAAGACGGAAAUGCCAGUGUUUGAGUCACAGAUGAUGAGUGACACGUGUCUGAAACUCUGAGGUCCAA